GUUCGAGAGUGCCGCUUGUGCCUUCUCCCCGCUUGCGGGGAGAAGGUGCCGGCAGGCGGA
rnacentral:sRNA from 1 species